UAUUUUAUCAGCUCUAUCUAGAACACAUUUCUUUGUGUGAAUUUCACAAGAACAUUGACCUAAUUUUACAUCUUUCACGUGUAAACGCUGUGGAAAUACAUUGACACCAUGUUUUGUGUGAAGCUCCUUGGUUUGCUGAUUGCAGGAUUAUUACUGAUUCCUGAAAGCUAUGCCACAUACGAUAAAAUAGAGUGUCACGAAUGUGACCGAAUGGCAGAUCACUGUGCUUUUCGCUGUCAAUGGCAACCAACAUAUGCUAAAUUCUAUUAUUGUGACGACCAUUGUACUCGACGAAAUCUAGCUUGUCAAUCCCGUUGUAAAAGGAGAGAUGGUCAGCCAUUACUUGUACAAAACGUACCAAUUGCCAGGAAAAUCGGAGGUGCAGGGGCAAAGAGGCAGCCAGGAAGAAUAAGCGAGGAAGAUAUUAAACAGUACUACCAGCACCGAAAAUAAAGACAAUUUAUAGUCGAUGUGAAAGGAAGUAUAAAGAGGGACCAAUCAUUUAACGAAUUCAACCUUAUUUGGCUAUCUAACAUUUUCAAACAUCACAGUAUGAAAGGGAAAUUGAUAUUAUCAAAUAAAGCAAUCAUCACUUUUA